UACGUAGGGUGCAAGCGUUAAUCGGAAUUACUGGGCGUAAAGCGUGCGCAGGCGGUUAUGUAAGACAGAUGUGAAAUGCCCGGGCUUAACCUGGGAACUGCAUUUGUGACUGCAUGGCUAGAGUUUGGGCAGAGGGGGGUAGAAUUCCACGUGAUAGCAGUGAAAUGCGUAGAUAUGUGGAGGAACACCGAUGGCGCAAGGGCAGCCCCCUGGGUCGAAGACUGACG
rnacentral:rRNA from 1 species